rnacentral:rRNA from 1 species
GAAAGGUUGUAUUAUUAGAUAAAGAACCAAUAAUUAAUUUUGGUGAUUCAUAAUAACUUUACGGAUCACAUUUUUAAUGUGACAUAUCAUUCAAGUUUCUGACCUAUCAGCUUUAGACGGUAGGGUAUUGGCCUACCGUGGCUAUGACGGGUAACGGGGAAUUAGGGUUCGAUUCCGGAGAGGGAGCCUGAGAAACGGCUACCACAUCUAAGGAAGGCAGCAGGCGCGCAAAUUACCCAAUCCUAAUACAGGGAGGUAGUGACAAGAAAUAACAAUACAGGACCUUUAUUGGUUUUGUAAUUGGAAUGAGUUAAGUAUAAACCCCUUUACAAGUAUCAAUUGGAGGGCAAGUCUGGUGCCAGCAGCCGCGGUAAUUCCAGCUCCAAUAGCGUAUAUUAAAGUUGUUGCAGUUAAAAAGCUCGUAGUUGGAUUUCUGUUAAUAGUUUCAUAUAUAAUAUCCAUUGAUAUUAUUAUGACAUUAACAUAACUCAUAUUUACUUUCGGGUUUUUAUGAGAUUUUACUUUGAGAAAAUUAGAGUGCUUAAAGCAGGCAAUUGCCUUGAAUACUACAGCAUGGAAUAAUAAUAAAAGAUUUUUAUCUUUUUUUUUAUUGGUUCUAAGAUAAAAAUAAUGAUUAAUAGGGACAGUUGGGGGCAUUUGUAUUUAACAGUCAGAGGUGAAAUUCUUAGAUUUGUUAAAGACAAACUAAUGCGAAAGCAUUUGCCAAGGAUGUUUUCAUUAAUCAAGAACGAAAGUUAGGGGAUCGAAGACGAUCAGAUACCGUCGUAGUCUUAACCAUAAACUAUGCCAACUAGAGAUUGGAGGUUGUUCCUUACUCCUUCA